GUACUGAUAAAAGGUGAAAUUAAUUUUUUAGUAUGUGGAAGUAUAAAAAAUAAAGUUUAAGUUGAAGCUAUCAAGGUAAAGAAAUGAACCAGGAUUAGAUACCCUGUUACACUUUACUUAAAUAAUAAUUACCUGGGUACUAAGCAGUUAUCACCUUGAAACUCAAAGGAUUUGGCGGUAACUUAGUCUAUUUAGAGGAACCUGUCCUGUAAUCGAUAGUCCACGCAGUAUCUUACUUUAUCUCGUAGAAAACAGUUUGUAUACCGUCAUUAUUAGAUAACUUUAAAAAAAUGUAGAGUUGUUGAAAUAGCUUAGCUAAUAAAUUAGAUCAAGGUGCAGCUUAUGGUAAAGUAGAGAUGGGUUACAAUAUGAUGAGUGUAAACGGAACAAUGGAUGAACAUUUGUUGUGAAGGUGGAUUUAAGAGUAAGAGCAUUUUAGUAAGAUGCUUUGACUUUAGCUCUAGGUUAUGUACACAUCGCCCGUCGCUCUCGUUAAUUAAAGC
rnacentral:rRNA from 1 species